rnacentral:rRNA from 1 species
AACGAACGCUGGCUGAAGACCUAACAAAUAGAAGUCGAACGUCUCUUCGGAGCAGGGGAGUACGGGUGAGGAACGCGUGGGAACUUGCCCUUUGGUUCAGACAAACACAGGAAAAGGUGUGCUAAUACCGUAUGUGCCAUUCGGGGGAAAGAUGUAGAGCCAUUGGAGCGGCCCGCAGUGGAUUAGGUAGUUGGUGGGGUAAAGGCCCCCCAAGCCGACGAUCCAGCGCUGGUCUGAGAGGAUGAUCAGCCACACUGGGACUGAGACACGGCCCAGACUCCUACGGUAGGCAGCAGUGGGGAAUCUUGCGCAAUGGGCGAACGCCUGACGCAGCCAUGCCGCGUGAAUGAUGAAGGUCUUAGGAUUGUAAAAUUCUUUCACCGGGGAAGAUAAUGACGGUACCCGGAGAAGAAGCCCCUUCUCCCUUCGUGCCAGCUGCCGCCGUAAAAC